GACGAACGCUGGCGGCGUGCUUAACACAUGCAAGUCGAACGGAAAGGCCCUGCUUUUGUGGGGUGCUCGAGUGGCGAACGGGUGAGUAACACGUGAGUAACCUGCCCUUGACUUUGGGAUAACUUCAGGAAACUGGGGCUAAUACCGGAUAGGAGCUCCUGCUGCAUGGUGGGGGUUGGAAAGUUUCGGCGGUUGGGGAUGGACUCGCGGCUUAUCAGCUUGUUGGUGGGGUAGUGGCUUACCAAGGCUUUGACGGGUAGCCGGCCUGAGAGGGUGACCGGCCACAUUGGGACUGAGAUACGGCCCAGACUCCUACGGGAGGCAGCAGUGGGGAAUAUUGCACAAUGGGCGGAAGCCUGAUGCAGCAACGCCGCGUGCGGGAUGACGGCCUUCGGGUUGUAAACCGCUUUCGCCUGUGACGAAGCGUGAGUGACGGUAAUGGGUAAAGAAGCACCGGCUAACUACGUGCCAGCAGCCGCGGUGAUACGUAGGGUGCGAGCGUUGUCCGGAUUUAUUGGGCGUAAAGGGCUCGUGGGUGGUUGAUCGCGUCGGAAGUGUAAUCUUGGGGCUUAACCCUGAGCGUGCUUUCGAUACGGGUUGACUUGAGGAAGGUAGGGGAGAAUGGAAUUCCUGGUGGAGCGGUGGAAUGCGCAGAUAUCAGGAGGAACACCAGUGGCGAAGGCGGUUCUCUGGGCCUUUCCUGACGCUGAGGAGCGAAAGCGUGGGGAGCGAACAGGCUUAGAUACCCUGGUAGUCCACGCUGUAAACGGUGGGUACUAGGUGUGGGGUCCAUUCCACGGGUUCCGUGCCGUAGCUAACGCUUUAAGUACCCCGCCUGGGGAGUACGGCCGCAAGGCUAAAACUCAAAGGAAUUGACGGGGCCCCGCACAAGCGGCGGAGCAUGCGGAUUAAUUCGAUGCAACGCGUAGAACCUUACCUGGGUUUGACAUGGAUCGGGAGUGCUCAGAGAUGGGUGUGCCUCUUUUGGGGUCGGUUCACAGGUGGUGCAUGGCUGUCGUCAGCUCGUGUCGUGAGAUGUUGGGUUAAGUCCCGCAACGAGCGCAACCCUUGUUCACUGUUGCCAGCACGUUAUGGUGGGGACUCAGUGGAGACCGCCGGGGUCAACUCGGAGGAAGGUGGGGAUGACGUCAAGUCAUCAUGCCCCUUAUGUCCAGGGCUUCACGCAUGCUACAAUGGCUGGUACAGAGAGUGGCGAGCCUGUGAGGGUGAGCGAAUCUCGGAAAGCCGGUCUCAGUUCGGAUUGGGGUCUGCAACUCGACCUCAUGAAGUCGGAGUCGCCAGUAAUCGCAGAUCAGCAACGCUGCGGUGAAUACGUUCCCGGGGCU
rnacentral:rRNA from 1 species